AUGAUGAGGGGAAGAGCGGCAGGCCAUGGCGAUGCCAAAGGGUUCGGGCGAUGUCCAGCUCGCCGCCGUCGCGGGCUACGCCGUCUGAUUCCAGGAAUCCAACCACGCGGCUCUCGAGUGCGACCCAGGCCAUCUCCGCUCCCGUCCGCCGCUUUGUGUCUAAGGGCCAGCUCUCUCAGGUAAUCCAGCAGGAUUCGUGCUGGAUUUUCUUCUCGAUUCGUGGACUGGAUCGCCCAUCAGGGCAUAGCCCAUAUCAACCAAACACCAAACACCCCCCGAGCAUUGAUGUGGGAGGGAAAAAAAAAAAAAGAAUCCUGCUAGAUGACGCAAACAGGCCCUUAAAUUGCUUGAUCUCAGAGAUUUGAUGUGAAUUGGAACUAUAAGAAAGACGAAGUGAAUGAGUUUAUUGCAUGAACCUACACAGCAACAACAUAAGGUAAAAAAAUGGCAAUUUUUCCUUAUGCAUUUGGAAGGCUUAUCAUCAGUAUACAUCAGUAGACGUAACGUAAACAAAAUAAAACCAGAGAAUUGACAUUUCAGAUGACGAUGAUGGCUUUCUUUCAUGUUACAUCCGUAAACAAAAUAAAACCAAAGAAUUGACAUUUCAGAUGACGAUGAUGGCUUUCUUUCAUGUUACAUCACUUGUUAUGUUGAUGUAGUUGAGAUAAUACUUUCACAGCUAACAUUCUAGGCUUAAUUUGUUGGGUAAUUCACUUUGCAUGCCUAAUUCUUUUUUGCUUUUAUGCAGAUCUUACUAAUUAGUAGAGUACUUGCUGCAUUUUCACUGAAGCAUUCCAUCAUUCAUUUCCAAACAAGUUUUUCCUAUGGAACAUCAAAAUUAGGCCUUUUUAGAUAUCAUUAGUAAAUAUGAAGAUGUUCUAUGUAGGAAUUCUUUAUCUUGACUGCAUUUUUGUCAGGUAUUGAGUAAGCCUCUUUAUCGACAUAAUGUUCAGAUGAUGUUUAGUUGAGAUAAGCUCUACGUUUCUGCAGUAAGUAAACUACCUGAGGCCUACUUUUCAAGUCUUCUGUCUGGAUAAAUAACUCCUGAUGGUUAUUUAGGGAUGCAUAAUUGGAGUACUUUUGAAUAGCUUGACAGCUAUUUCACUUAUUCGUAACUAUGUGCGCAUUAUAAUUUUUAUAAAUGCUUGACAAUUUGCAGUAGGUAAAUAUGUUGCAUCUUGUUCAUUGAAUUCUCUCAUCAAACCCAUGUUUGGGAAAUCACAUCGUUUUCUUGGAGACUUGGGCACAUUAGUAAAUUAGAAUCCUGCUUGAUCACUUAUUGUUCCAAAUAUGCUGUCAACGAACCAAGUAGUGUCAAGAAUUCUCAUGUUACUAAGUUUGCCUUAACUUUUUGUCCUGAAAGCUCAUUCUUCUGCUGUGUUUUUCAUUGGGUUCACAGCUUCUAGGUGCUGAAUCUGUAAACCGUCUGAAUUGUACUCCAAAUUUAAAAGAUCUAGAAAAUGCAGAUGUUAUAAUUGAAGCAAUUGUAGAGCCUAAAGACAUAAAGAAGAAAUAUUCAAUCUCUAUCACUUGUCUUGCUUCUGCGACUACCGACCAACCCAGGUUUUUGUCAUUGCCUUAUCUGUUGCACGUAAGAUAGGCUCACUGGAUUAUUAACAAGGUCUACUGAACACCAUGUCUACUUUAAUUAAAUUUUGCCUGUUAUGAAUCAUAAACGGAGACAGCAGGCCUUAAUUUGUUGAUUGUAUGAAUUCUGAUAAUAAUACAUGUUUAUAAUUUCGGUACACAUAUCUCGGUCACAUGUUGACUAUCUAUAGCAUAUUUGCAUACACACCCAGAGUUGUGAAGAAGAUCAAAUGCAUUUACAGGCUCCUAUUUUUGUCACGCGAGAUACUCGGCGGAUGCCUUUGCCUUAUGAGUUAUGGCAACAGGAAUCUUUUAUUUCUGAUUGGUGCUUAAUUAGGAUUGUUUUAAAAACUCUAGUUUUUCUCUGGCUGAUGUUGACUCUCUGCUGAGCAAAUUAAUAUAGUACUGGCAUAUUCUCUAGGCUUCAGAGUGAAGAGACUCAUUUAUUGAGGUCUUUGGUUGGCGCCUAUUCAGAAUAAUCUCUUGAGUAUUGACAAAGCCUCGUCGAAUGGUCGAUCUUGUUUUCCAAUGUGUUAUGCUCGUGAGAUUAUUUCCUUCUAAUUGAUGAAGCUACUACUCCAGAAUUUCAAAAACACUUAGCUGGCCUUCUAACUGAUGAAGAUACUACUCCAGAUUCCAGAAGAAAAUGCUUGGCUGGGCUUGUGUUAUGCAGGAUUUUGAGGCAGUCUAGGAAUCACCAGAAGCAUGUUCUUAUUUUUCCUGCCAGACAACUCAUGAAAAAAAGUGAUGCCUAGAAAUAUUCUCCAGUUGAAUAAUUUUAUUUUGGGUGCCAGACACACUACAAAGGCAUCUUCUUUUUGAAGUUACUAGUUCAUUUUGAGCUUCACUAUCUAAUUUAUCCUGCUAAAUAAUGCUUCUACAUAUUAUCAAGUGUAACUCUUCAUCAUUGCAUGAGAUUUUAUGGUUAGUGGUUCAGUCCAUCGUGAUUUCUUUUUCUAGAGAUGCACUACACCAGUAACUCCAAAGGUAUCAUACACAUUAGCAAUUGAAUGUCUGACUUCGCUACUAGUUUUGCCAAUGGGUGCUAUAAGGAUAGGAAUAACAAAAUAUAUCUUGCAUGACUGAUUGAUUUCAUAUGGAUGAUUACAACAUAAUUUAAUCAAUAAUCACUUUCAUUCCACACAUACCAUAUGAUAAAGUACUAGUCAUUAUAAUUGCACUGCAAAAUAAGAAGAGCAUAUUCAAGAGAAUGAGAAAUUAAAAUUAGAGAAUGUGAAAAGAAAAGAAGAAAAUGGGAUAUAAAGAAUUGACUAUGGAGUAAAAGAUAGACCAACAUAGUUACUCCAGAUUGAUUUGUUUAGACUCAUUGACUUUGUUUAUACAUGCAUGGGACCAUCAGCAGAUAUAUCUUUCUAAUCAAAGGAUGCACUUGCUACAGUUUUUGCAUGGUUUUAAAGCUUAUUGAGUCUGUUUCUGUCAUUCUGUGUUAACAUUUUUGUGGUUUUUGUGACUUGAUUUUGGAAAGUUACUUCCUUGGAACUGCAACAAUGAACAUUAUAGCAAUCAACACAGAUACAUGGGAUUAUUUAUGUUGCUGGAAAUUGGACCCGAGGGCAACCACGGGCUGAGAAGGAGGAGCUCUGGCAAGAGUGGCGCGUCGGCGGGCUGCGUCCUCCGAGGGACCUGCAAGAAGCCGGUGGCCGGGGCUUCCGGCGGCGGCCCUCCGAUGCUUAAGUCAGAGGGGGGCUUAAUUUUGGGGAAGGAGAUGGACUGUAUGUAGAAGUCCGAAGCCCCCUUUUUAGAAGGAGAAGCUCCCCUUUUUAUAGGACGGGUGCCAGGUUACCUGAGAUGUGACUGGGCGAAUUAAUGAAUUACCGUCAUGAUUGGGCGUGGUCGUGCGCAUUAAUGAGCUGGCGUGGGCAGCUGAAUAAGACGGAGUGGCGCAUUAAUGAGUUGCUGUGGAUGACUGGACGGGAUUGAAUGAGUCAACGAAUUGCCGUGGAUGGCCUGAGACUUUAGGCUGGUUGAUAUGCCGUGGCGUGGCCGGCAAGCAAAGCAUUGUGCGGUGAGACUACUGCAGGGCGUGGCCGCAGCAUGUGGACGAUGAGCUCGGCCUUCUGGCCUCGGCUUGCAUGAGCUCGGUCUUCUAGGCUCGGCCUGCAUGAGCUCGGACUUCUGGGCUCGGCCUUCUGAGCUUGGUCUGCAUGAGCUCGGCCUGCCGUCGGAUUCGGGUGUUCUGAUUAUAUUUAUGGGAUGGUCCAUUUUUCCCCCAACAAUUUAUGAUGUUGGGUAUCUGUAUAUCAGCUAACAAAAGCUUAUUUGUUCAACACUAAACACAAGUACAGAGUAGUUGAAGUAAGUUUACAUUUUAAAUAAUGGCUAUUGUAUAUUGCAGGUGAUGGACGUGCACUUUAUGAACCCCCUUCCAUAAUGUAAUUGAUUGAGAUUGUGAGAGGAGCAGACAAAUUGGACGCGGUCUUUCUGAAAAUAAAAGUCUUGGCACAAAAGACUUCAUUGGUUUAGAUGUAUAUCUUUCAAUACCGAAGGUGCUUCAUGAAGGACUCGGGGACAGCAAGCAAAAUCCUAGCCCGCUCCUUGUUUAGUACGUUGAUGCUGGUCGCUUGGGAAGGGGGCGAGGGAUUGGCGUCCACACCAACCACAAAAAACCUGCAGCAAAACCAUUAUCCUUGCUCUGAAAUCCUUGAGGAAGAUUAAAGCUAGAAAUGAAAGGAAUCUUGAGGGCAUGUUGGAGCCUGAAUUGGGGCUGGGAAAGAAGAUAUCUUCCUCUGACUGAAAACAAUAACAGGGAGUAUAUUGCUUUCGGUGUCUAUCUGGAAGGCAGUCAUGUAUGCUCAGAGGAAGACAGGAUAAAUGCAGGUUGGCUUAUCAAUUCCUAAUUGAUGUUAUAAAGCAUGUAUUUUUUCUGAUGUUCCCUUGGCAGAGAAUAUUUAUUUAUACUGUAAAAAAAAAAAAGUCUUCUGAA